GACGAACGCUGGCGGCGUGCUUAACACAUGCAAGUCGAACGAAGAGCGAUGGAAGCUUGCUUCUAUCAAUCUUAGUGGCGAACGGGUGGGUAACGCGUAAUCAACCUGCCCUUCAGAGGGGGACAACAGUUGGAAACGACUGCUAAUACCGCAUACGAUCUAAACUCGGCAUCGAGGAUAGAUGAAAGGUGGCCUCUACAUGUAAGCUAUCACUGAAGGAGGGGAUUGCGUCUGAUUAGCUAGUUGGAGGGGUAACGGCCCACCAAGGCGAUGAUCAGUAGCCGGUCUGAGAGGAUGAACGGCCACAUUGGGACUGAGACACGGCCCAGACUCCUACGGGAGGCAGCAGUGGGGAAUCUUCCGCAAUGGACGAAAGUCUGACGGAGCAACGCCGCGUGAGUGAUGACGGCCUUCGGGUUGUAAAGCUCUGUUAAUCGGGACGAAAGGCCUUCUUGCGAAUAGUGAGAAGGAUUGACGGUACCGGAAUAGAAAGCCACGGCUAACUACGUG
rnacentral:rRNA from 1 species